UCCAGACUCCUACGGGAGGCAGCAGUGGGGAAUAUUGGGCAAUGGGCGCAAGCCUGACCCAGCAACGCCGCGUGAAGGAAGAAGGCUUUCGGGUUGUAAACUUCUUUUAUUCGGGACGAAGCAAGUGACGGUACCGAAUGAAUAAGCCACGGCUAACUCCGUGCCAGCAGCCGCGGUAAUACGGAGGAUGCGAGCGUUAUCCGGAUUUAUUGGGUUUAAAGGGUGCGCAGGCGGCCUGUUAAGUCAGCGGUAAAAGCCGGGGGCCCAACCCCGGCGAGCCGUUGAAACUGGCGGGCUGGAGUUGGAGAGAAGUACGCGGAAUGCGCGGUGUAGCGGUGAAAUGCUUAGAUAUCGCGCAGAACCCCGAUUGCGAAGGCAGCGUACCGGCUCCACACUGACGCUGAGGCACGAAAGCGUGGGUAUCGAACAGGAUUAGAUACCCGAGUAU
rnacentral:rRNA from 1 species